AACGAACGCUGGCGGCAUGCCUAACACAUGCAAGUCGAACGAGAUCUUCGGGUCUAGUGGCGCACGGGUGCGUAACGCGUGGGAAUCUGCCCUUUGGUUCGGAAUAACAGUUGGAAACGACUGCUAAUACCGGAUGAUGACGAAAGUCCAAAGAUUUAUCGCCAGAGGAUGAGCCCGCGUAGGAUUAGCUAGUUGGUGUGGUAAAGGCGCACCAAGGGGACGAUCCUUAGCUGGUCGGAGAGGAUGAUCAGCCUCACGGGGACUGAGACACGGCCCAGACUCCUACGGGAGGCAGCAGUGGGGAAUAUUGGAGAAUGGGCGAAAGCCUGUUCCAGCAAUGCCGCGUGAGUGAUGAAGGCCUUAGGGUUGUAAAGCUCUUUUGCCCGGGAGGAUGAUGACAGUACCGGGAGAAUAAGCUCCGGCUAACUCCGUGCCAGCCGCCGCCGUAA
rnacentral:rRNA from 1 species